UGUGUGUGUGUGUGUGUGCGUGCUCCCUCACUUGAACAGUCUCUUCUUUAGCAGUUUGGGAAAUCACAGGAAAUCUGACUGUGACCUUGUAGUCUGGGCUGCAUUUCAGAACUGUGCUUUGGUGUAGUCUUACUCCAAUGCUAGGGGCUUUUCACGUUACCCAGUGUUCAGCAAAGAUACCGCAAUGAAACCUCAUUCUAGUCCCCAUUUCUGUUUAGAUGAGAGAGGCAGGGAGGUGUUUUAUUUUAUUUUAUUUUUUCACUUCUUAAAACAUACAAUGUAUUUUGGAGAAAUAUUCCAGGAAGGAUGUCACAUGUCCUGCCACUUCAUAAAAGGAACACAGUGUCUGUUUUUCUUUGUGACUCAACUUUGUUAUGUCACAAAAAGCUAAAGAGCUGCUCUGGGUCCUCAGAUGGUAUCCUUGACUUCACAGCACUGUGGCCAGAUUCCCCCCACCUCCCCAUGAACCCUACCCUGAUCCCCCUGUCCUCAGCUUCUCCUUCACGGGUUCUCUCCUUCCUGUGAUACAUAGCUGUUACUUUUUUCUAUCUGCUGUUGUUCUGCCUCCUACCUCCCCCUCUUUCCCACCCUGUGUUUAGAAUAUGAACAUUUAGAAAGAAGAGUAUAUAAUCAAUACUCUUGUUAGUAUGUCCUAAAUAAGAAUUAACACAGCAAUAAGAGAAGAGCAGACACUUGGGCUGCAUAGGACUUCAGAAAUGUCCCUUGAAUUCCCCAUGACCAGAGAAGAGAAGGGCAUCCUCCAACUCCUGGAUUAAGUAGGAAAAUCCACUUCUCAUCUGGAUCUUGAGGUGGGAAGACACAAGACUUUAAUCUGGGCCACACCUUCUGCUGGAAACCUAUAUAAGGACAUGGAUGAAGGAUGCUUUUGCUUUUUGUCUGCUUGCUCUCACUCUCACUGACAAGCCCACUCCUUCCUCAUAAUUUGAGCUUUGUUCUUCAGGAUUCCAGCAUCUACUGAAGACAAGCUGAGACAUCCAGCCACAUUAGAAUGAGUAACAUCUGGAUUCUUGGAUUUUUCUGUUCAUAUCCAGUCAUUGCUGGAUUGUCUGGACCACAAAUGUAGGCAGAGAAAUGAAAAGGGUAGGGAUGAGAUUACAAACUAGGAGAACUGAACCAAAGAGGAAGAAUGCCUUCAGUUGGCAAACCAGAAGGUUGACAAAACACAGGUUAGGAGCCUGAAGGUAAGUUAACAGAAACUUUCCAACUCAAAAUGCAAAGACAAAACCAGUGAAGAGUGGAGUUUCGAAGAACUAUGAGACAAGUCCAGAAAGCCUUAACAUGUGCCUUGUUGGAGGGAAAGAGAGAGAGAGAGAAUGUGUGCAGGGAAGUCUGCAAAGUUACAGUGGCUAAGUGACUGUCAAAAUUAACAACAGACAUCCAAAUGUACACUGAGGAUCUUAUGGAGCACGAAGUAAGAUAAACAUUAUGUAACUGUAUCAAGGCAUCAUGUUCAACGAACAGAAAACCAAAAUCUUAAAGGUCUUUGUCCAACUUGUGUCAGGUGGCCACAAACAUUUUUAGAUGCUACAAGGGCAAAACAAGAGGUAGAAGAACCUAGAAUUCCACUAAAGUAAAUUAAAUACAAAAUAA
rnacentral:lncRNA from 1 species